CUUACGAAAAGCCAGAGCUCCCCUUCCUAUUUACCGGCGAGCCACCUUUAGUCCUCUUUUGCUCACACACGAUCGACUUCAAGCCACAGAGAUGUAGAAAUGGAAUUACUCUGCCUUUCACCUUUUGAGAAACUGCCAGACUGUCUUCCAAAGAGGCUGCACCAUUUUACUUUCCCCACCCGCAGUGUAUGCGGGUUCCAGCCGUUCCCCGUCCUCGCCAGCACUUACUAGCGUUGGCCUUUGACCACAGUCCUCCUAGAGCAGAGACUGGAAACAAAAGACAUGCUUUCAAGCUCUUCGAGACCUCAAAAAAAUUUCAAUUUAUUUAGUCCAAAGAAAAAUGACUUCCUUCAACACCAACAAAAACUCAUGUAUUUUGGAAUUGUAUUUUAUCUGGAACUUCAGAUGUGUAAACGGU